rnacentral:tRNA from 1 species
GUCGUUGAGCUAACCAGGUAGAGCAACGGUUUCGUAAACCGUAGGUCACGAGUUCGAAUCUCGUCAUUGGCUCCA